rnacentral:rRNA from 1 species
GAUGAACGCUGGCGGCGUGCUUAACACAUGCAAGUCGAACGGGAAUUAUUUUAUUGAAACUUCGGUCGAUAUGAUUUAAUUCUAGUGGCGGACGGGUGAGUAACGCGUGGGUAACCUGCCUUGUACAGGGGGAUAACAGUCAGAAAUGACUGCUAAUACCGCAUAAGCGCACAGGACCGCAUGGUCCGGUGUGAAAAACUCCGGUGGUAUAAGAUGGACCCGCGUUGGAUUAGCUAGUUGGUGAGGUAACGGCCCACCAAGGCGACGAUCCAUAGCCGGCCUGAGAGGGUGAACGGCCACAUUGGGACUGAGACACGGCCCAGACUCCUACGGGAGGCAGCAGUGGGGAAUAUUGCACAAUGGGGGAAACCCUGAUGCAGCGACGCCGCGUGAAGGAAGAAGUAUCUCGGUAUGUAAACUUCUAUCAGCAGGGAAGAAAAUGACGGU